GCUUACUGUUUUUAAAAAAAAAAUUCGAAAACCUUUUUUCUUUUUUUUUCUCUCAAAAAUCCGGCCCUUGGUUCUCCUAACGCCGCCGUUGCGCUCGCCGCACCGCCACCGUCUCCGACGGCCGACGAAGCGCCAGAUCGGCUUGGGAAACUCCGUCUAGGUGACGGCGCAAGUGGCCGAUGUGACAACGGUGGUGGCAGGCGGCUAGUGAGCGGCGUGACAGUGCUGAUGGAGGCGGCGCCGGGCUAGGGGUCAGAGGGCUGCGGCGCUAGGGUUUCUUUUCUGAAACCCUAGCUUGACUUUUGGGGGAAUUGGGCUCCGGAUUUGGGCCUUGGGUUUGGGUUAGGCUAGUUGGGUUUAAUUGUUUUGGGUUGAGGGUUUAUUUGGGUUAAGGAUUUGUUGGGCCCGGGCAUGAAAAAUUGGGCUUGUACAGUCCCUAUUGUUGUUUCUUUGUUUCGUUUUUGUUCCAUUAUAUAUCGGUGUAAAAUUUAAGUAAUUUUACUUUUUUUCUUAAUUUUUAUAGCAUUAAUAUUUUAAUAA